rnacentral:rRNA from 1 species
GACGUAGGUGGCGAACGUUACUCGGAAUUAUUGGGCGUAAAGGGUGCGUAGAUGGUUAAAUAAGUUAGUAGCGGUAAAUCAGAGCUCAACUUUGUGGAAGUUACUAAUACUGUUUAACUUGAGGACAGGAGAGGUUAACGGAACUCUCUGUAGAGCGGUGAAAUGCAUAGACAUAGAGAAGAACACCAAAGGCGAAGGCAGUUAACUAUUCUGUUCCUGACAUUGAGGCACGAAAGCGUGGGGAGCAAAAAGG